UUAAAUGUAAUUUAAUAAUACUUUAUUUUCUUUAGUGUUGGUUUUUGCAGCUUGUGAACUUACUUUGUUUAGCUGUAUCCUGUAUAUUUUGAGGUAUGCUUAUGCCCUUAAUAAAAGAAAAAGGUAAGUAUGUUUUAUGAUUACAUUGAAUAUUUUUGCUUUGAAGAAAAUAUUUAUUCCAGUUUUAAUGUAAUUAAAAAGGACAGUUCUCAGUCCUUCAAUGAAGGGUGGCAUGUCAUCUCUUUUGAACAUUGUUCUUAUGCAGGAUUUUGACUCCAAUCUUCCCAAUUAAUUCUGUACUAAAAGGGAAAGUAUAUUGACUGGUAUUUCAUAUUAGUUUGCAAGUUUACAGACACUCUGCAGAGUUCCUUUGAGUUUUGGAACAGUAUUAUAGCUGUAAGACAGCUAAUUAAAAUUUUGUACUCAGUCAUUUCAUUGACCCAAAUUAACCUUAUAAAGUUGGUAUUUCCAUUUUGCACCAGAUAAAAGAAAACAAAAAAGUGGAAAAUGUUUAUCUAUGAAAUACUUUGAGGGAGGUGAAUGUAGUUGUGCCUUCAAGGUGCUACAAAGCUAAUGAGUUUGUUGACAUAAAAAUGUGCUGGGUUUGUUGAGGGACUCUUAUAUCAGAGAGGCUGAGUUUUUUCUGACAGCCAGAAAGAUAACUGUGAUGUUAUAUCUGUAUCUGCAUUUAUGUUUGGACAAAUUUAUCUUCAUAUUAAGGAAAUUGACUCCUCAAAUUACAUGUGUGGGCUGUAAUCAGGCCAAAAUAAGAUUAAAUCCAUGAUCAAAACAAGUAGCUUUUUAGCAAGCAAUUCUCCAUUUUUAAGCAGCAUUACUAGGUUGCUUAUGCUAUGAAUCUAAUGUAAAUAAACUGCAUUUCAUACUUUAGUUCACUAAUGUCUCAGUGUUAGGCAUUUGUGUUCUCCAAAAUUGUUUGUGAAUAAACUGGUUUCUUUAAGAAGGAAGUUGUCUCAUACUAACAGUGUGGUAGCUUUGAAAGUGUAAGCUUCAUAUGUUUUGCUCAUAAAUAGUGUAUUUAAGAAUUAGUCCUUUUGAUUAAAGGAAAAUCACCUGCAGAUCUGUUCCAGUGUUCCAGGUCUGAAAUCCAGUGUGUUUGUUAGAUAUCAUUUAAGUGGGACAGAGUAGAGGCAGUCAGAAUGAAUCCCAGUGCUGUGAGUAAUUAUGAGCAAUUCUGCCUUAAAGGAAAACUUCAGAAACACAGAACUUGCUAGAGAAAUGGUGGCAGUGUAGGAAAGUGAAGCCUUAGCUACUAUGGACUGUUCCUUGAUUCCUUUGUGUACACACACAGAGUUAUGUGCAACUAUAAUGACAACAUUACUUGAUUUUUAUUUUCCCUGAUGUAUCUGAACGGAGUAGUAAAACACAAAGAGGAUCUUGUUUUCAUCAUGUUCAAAAUGAGAGUUCAGCAGCACUCCUUAGGCUGUUUUGAGCAUAAAGUUGUCUAAACAGUUUGUUCUAAAAUUGCCAUUAUAUUUGAAUUAGAGCAUUUUACUAAUCCAAGCACACUUCUUGACUAGGUGAGCUACUGAGCUAUAUUGGAAGCUUUUAACAUAUUGUUGCCUCUUAAUUGCUAUUCAUAUUUUGACAGUAAUAAUAAUAUCUGUUGUCUUCUCACAUAAUUUGUGAUUUAUAUUAAUGUAUUCUUUAUUGAAUGUGUUUACACAGUCCUUACAAAUGUGUUAGUUCUUUCCAUCAAAAAAAGUAUUGUUUGAGAGAGCUUACAAUCUGCUUGCACUGUUAUGAGAAUUUCUUGGUCACAUCUCUUUUCUAUGUAUGUUAACCUGCAAAACUACAGGGAACAAGGAGUGGGAGCUGUGGAAAAAAUGUUUAGAAGGUGAUGCUAAAGGUGAUAGGAAUUCUGAACAGAAUCUCCAGAGAAAACACAAAGCAGCAAACAAAGAGUGUUACUGGAUUACCAAGAUGCCUCAUUGCAAUAAAAGAUCAAUAAGAAGCAGCAGAAAAUGGGAAUUUUACUGUGAGUGGAAUAUAGAACAUGUACAAGCAAAAUGCUUCUACUUUGGUUCUUUUAUUUAAUAAGAGUUUGGUUAAUGAGAGUAGACAUCUCUAUUAAGAAACAUGAAAUUCUGUGCAGCAUCAGACAAAAGCAGUCACUUCACAGCACAAAGAUUUGACCUAGCUCUAAACUGAUAUUCUUGAGUUUAAUGUACACCAAUUAGUUAAAGAUCAAUAAUUGACGAAGUUCACUUGGUCCAAACAUAGUUCCUGUCCCUCAAGUGUAAUAUAUAUCAUUGCAAUGUGUCUGGUUAUGGGGAGGUGAAAAGCACUUUCUGCACCUCACUUGUAUUAGCCACUAGGUCUUUUUAUUUCCAUUUACCCUGCUGAUCAUGCAGAGAAGGAAAUGUUAAUGCUUGCUGGAAUUCCAGAGAAAACCCAACAAAUACUUGGGUAUAAAAGUAAAAAAAUUGACUUCCCCACUGUGCCAGCAGGCAAAAUGCUGUGAUUGUAGAGGUCAUGUCACAGAAGCAUUGAUCAGGCUCUUGCACAUAGUGUCCAGUGGAGCUCUAGAGGAGGUUACUGAAGCUGAAAACAGCUAAAAAAAAAGCAGAUUCAUCUGUUUAGGUUUCACAAGAGUGCCCUUUAAAAUUCCAGUGGGUUCUGCAUCAGAUGCUUGUAUUUUUGUUAUUCCCAUUGUCAGCAAGUUCUGUGUUGCAAAUUGUGCAUGACUAGAAAAGUCAAAAGGUAAAAAUUGAUCAGAAAAAAGUUCACAGAAGAAUUCUUUUGUUCCACACACAGUUGUGUGACUAAACUGGGCUGCCUAGGACCAUGCAUGUGGAAAGGCUGUGCAUGCAGGUGCUGAGGUGGAGCAAAGGCAGGAGCAGCCCUCGUGCUGCCUGGGCAGGGCUGUGCCUGCAGCUGCUGGGGAGGUGAGGCAGACAAGCCACGGCUCUGUGUGUGCAGGGAUGGCUGCAGCAGCUGCCUGUGGAGCCACAGCUUAGUGGCAUUGUCACCUUUCAUGGGCUGUGUGUGGUGGGGAAAGGAAUUGCAGGGGUAACCAGUGACAGUUGUGAAAUGGAGGCAUGCUUAACUAGACAUGGGAGAUCAGAACUGCAGUCCCUACAGGCAAUCCACACAAUGACUUCUCCUGUUACUACAGAAGCAAGAGGCUUGUUUAGGGUUUUUUUGUUGGUUUUUGUUUUGUUUUGUGCUUCUUGUUGGUUUUUUUAACAAUACAAUAUCAUUUUCAAAUUAUGAGUGAAAAUUUGGGUGAAACUGGGAGUUUCAACAAACUCAGUAAUGAGCUAAGACAGCUUGGUUUGCAGUAGCUGUAGUGGUGAUGGAGUCUGUAACCAUUACAAGAAGAUAUUCGUGAAACUGAAAAUAGGAGUAAUUGAACCAUGUUCUAAUGUUUAAAAUCUAUUUGCAACAGGGCAAAGAAAACAACUAUAAGAUAUUUUGGUCUUCCUGAAAUGGAAUUUGAGAGUCUUCUUGUCAAUGAAACAUGAUAAGUUUAUUAAAUAUGUUCUAGAAUGUAUGAGAAAGUUGGUUUUAUCUGCUACAGUUUUUCUCCUUAAUUUGAGCUGUAUGUAUGCUACUGCAGCUUCAGAACAUCUGGGUACAGUGAUUUUUUUCUUUUCUGCACCUGCAAGUGUAAGUACACACAUAAACAAAAAAGAAAUUAAAUCUUUCACAAAGCCAAAGAGAAAGAAAAAACCCAACCAGGCAUGAAGCUCAGGGGAGCAGUAUGACAAGUGCUGAGCUGUAAACAAGCUUGAGAGGGAUUUAAUUCUUAUGACAAGCGCCAGUGGUAGCGUCUCACAUGGACUCAGCAUAUGCACACAUUUCAGAGGAGGAAUCACAGAGGACUUAAUGCAAAUAUAAAAAAGCUCAGAGCACAUCAGCCUAUGCUGUUCUAAAAAUAUCCUCAAAAAUCAGGAUGAGCAAGGGUUGUAAUUAUCUUGAUUUUUCGGAUUUUUGCCACUUGUAGGAGGUUUUGUGGUUUAUGCUCACACUAUAAUUAGACUUUAUAACAUGCAAACUACAAACCCUUUAGGAUAGGGAUUGGUUCAUAUAUUUGUGGGGCAAGUACAGCAAGUACACCUCAUUGGGUGGUAUUUUCAGGGUGAUAGUACAAUACAGCCACUGAGUAAUAGCUGCUGUUCUAAGUUUUAAAAAAGCUUAUUUUAGGUUAUAAGAUUGUUGUUGUUUGUUAAGGAAAGAGAAAUAAGAUGUAAUUUGGUAUCCACAUUAAAUUUUAAAAGCCUUUAAUGCCUUUAAUUACAGUCAGGUCCUUUCUCUUGCAAUACAUUUGUAACUGCCUCAUUUCUCUAGCAACAUUCUGAGGAGUACACACUGCAAACCAUCCCCAGCACUCUGUGCUUAAGCAGAUUUCUCCAUGGCAGUUGAUGAGUUAGUGCUGCAGGAUGUAGCCUGUUUUCACUUCACCUUCAGACAGCUCUGGGAUGAGUAGUAUGUGCUCCAGCCACUGGAUAGGUGUAGCUCAUUUAAGAAAUUAGACUAGUGCUCUACUCACCUUAGAUCUUCAAUUUGGUAUUUUCUUUUCUGCUUUCCUCAGUCUGCAAAAAAAUAAUUUAAUGAUUACAUUUGCUAGCAAAGGGUUAAUAAUCCCUGGAGAUCUUCAGGCUUAGCCAAAUACUACUGUGUUGUAGUGUAGUUAGCUAAAAAACUGGGUUUAACCAUGGUUUAGAUUUCAUUGCAGAAGGUGGACUCUAGGAAGAGAGGCUCUCUUGCACACAAUUUUCCUUGCUCAUUUAGGUGGUGGACAAUUGGGAAAACAUGUUACUUUGCAAAAGUUUUGUUAUGUUUUAAAUAUGCUGAAUUUUCUAUACUGGUUUACAGCACUGAUCUUUCUGGACUCAAAUGUGAGAUUUUAUGUGUGUGUGCAAAUUACCUUUCAGUUGUAUGAUGGUUCUUAAUCUGUUUCUGGAUAUGUGUUGUAGAUAUCCCUUCCAUUACAAGUAGUUGAAAAUG